UACGGAAGAUGCGAGCGUUAUCCGGAUUUAUUGGGUUUAAAGGGUGCGUAGGCGGAUCGUUAAGUCAGUGGUCAAAUUGAGGGGCUCAACCCCUUCCCGCCAUUGAAACUGGCGAUCUUGAGUGGAAGAGAAGUAUGCGGAAUGCGUGGUGUAGCGGUGAAAUGCAUAGAUAUCACGCAGAACCCCGAUUGCGAAGGCAGCAUGCCGGCUUCCUACUGACGCUGAAGCACGAAAGCGUGGGGAUCGAACAGG
rnacentral:rRNA from 1 species